rnacentral:tRNA from 1 species
AGCGGGAUAGCUCAGGUGGUCAGAGCGAACGACUCAUAAUCGUUAGGUCGCGGGUUCAAGUCCCGCUCUCGCUA